rnacentral:rRNA from 1 species
AUGUGAUCGUCUCUCGCAUAUCAAUAAGCGGAGGAAAAGAAACUAACAAGAAUUCCCUUAGUAACGGCGAGUGAAGCGGGAAGAGCUCAAAUUUGAAAUCUUCAAGGUUUUACCUUGACGAAUUGUAGUUUAAAGAAGUGUUUUCUGUUGAAGUUUUGGUAAAAGUUCUUUGGAAUAGGACAUCAUAGAGGGUGAGAAUCCCGUAUUUGACCAUUAUUUUCAGCUGUGUGAUACACUUUCAAAGAGUCGGAUUGUUUGGGAAUGCAGUCCAAAAUGGGUGGUAAAUUUCAUCUAAAGCUAAAUAUUGGCGAGAGACCGAUAGCGAACAAGUACCGUGAGGGAAAGAUGAAAAGAACUUUGAAAAGAGAGUUAAACAGUACGUGAAAUUGUCAAAAGGGAAGCGUUUGACACCAGUGUUGUUUUCUCGAAAAUCAAUUAAAAAGAGUUUGAUUUUGUUGUGUAUUGACCUUAACAGCUUGCAUUUCAAUUUUCUUGCUUUUUUUAAUGCACUUUUCGUUUAACAAGUCAACAUCAGUUUCUUUUGUUGUAAAAAGGUCAUUGGAAGGUGGCUUUCUUUUCGGAGAAAGUGUUUAUAGCCUUUGACUCCUGCAAUCGGAGAGACUGAGGUCUGCAGCGUAGAUCCUUCGGGGUUAGAUACAUUUGUGCUAAGUUAUAGCUUUUUAUAGACAACUUGUUGACUAUGAUUAGUCUUGUAGCUUACUCGCUUAUGCUAUUUUACCUACGCUUAGGAUGUUGAAGAUGUAGCACAUCAU